GCACUGGUGUUUCAGUGGUAGAGGUCUCAUCUUUCAUGCAGGAGACCUGGGUUCACUUCCUGGCCAGUGCA
rnacentral:tRNA from 1 species